rnacentral:rRNA from 1 species
GAUGAACGCUGGCGGCGUGCCUAAUACAUGCAAGUCGAGCGAACAGACGAGGAGCUUGCUCCUCUGACGUUAGCGGCGGACGGGUGAGUAACACGUGGAUAACCUACCUAUAAGACUGGGAUAACUUCGGGAAACCGGAGCUAAUACCGGAUAAUAUAUUGAACCGCAUGGUUCAAUAGUGAAAGACGGUUUUGCUGUCACUUAUAGAUGGAUCCGCGCCGCAUUAGCUAGUUGGUAAGGUAACGGCUUACCAAGGCAACGAUGCGUAGCCGAACUGAGAGGGUGAUCGGCCACCCUGGAACUUAGACACGGACCAGACUACUACGGGAGGCAGCAGUAGGGAAUCUUCCGCAAAGGGCGAAAGCCUGACGGAGCAACGCCGCGUGAGUGAUGAAGGCCUUCGGAUCGUAAAACUCUGUUAUUAGGGAAGAACAAAUGUGUAAGUAACUAUGCACGUCUUGACGGUACCUAAUCAGAAAGCCACGGCUAACUACGUG